CUCUCUCUCUCUCUCUCUCUCCAAACGAGAACUCGGAGAGGCUCCUCCCUCGAGCGUGUUCACCGAAAAUAAAAAUAUCCUUCACUAUUCUACUCGAGUGCUGACUCUCUCGGCUCUCUCGGCUCUCUCGGCUCGGCUAUUUGUGCUAGGUGAGAUCAGUCGCAUCCGUGGAUGCAACCUGACAGGCUGGAAUCGUGCCCUAGAAAGGCGAGUGAAGGGCCUUAAGGCUCUUGGGAUAGUGAAGUCAGCACAGUAUCCUCGGGGGGAGGGAUACCUUUAUUUUAUCCCAGGUAUUCUACCCUGGGGGAAGAUCUCCUGAGACACAGUGCCGUCCGUAAGAAUCUGUCUCGUAGCACGAGCAAGCGGAUGAGUCUCUCCAGGCUCUCAAACAGAGCGGAACGUUCAAUUCAUAGCAGACGUCGUCAUCCUGGAUGCAAGAGGUAUGCAUAAGCGCGGAGGAGCCCCUGACAUAAAUUGCAACGUGAUGCAAUCGGACGGCGCUCAUAGCGAGCAGCCACACCUCUGCUAGGAGAUGCUGCGCCGACUCCUUUUCCACGCUACGUUUCUAUCCAAUGCACCAGGAGGACGCGGAGCCUUCGGAAAGCAUCGAGAUCGGAAUGAUAAGAAACAAAGGUCGAGAGACAUUAUUCAGUGAGAAACAAAAUGAUGAUCGAUGGUUUAAAAAUUUAUAUAGACUUCUUCUUAGCCUCCGAAGAAAUAUGCCCCGUACGCUCAUCUUCUGACCCUGUUACCUAUGUUUUAUAUAAGAUUCGAUCUAACUGAAUUAAGUUAAUGCAUUUAAAGCGAAUCUCACCGCAGCCUUAAGGAGCUUCGCGCACACGCGAGACUACUUUGUCCCUCGCUACUUCUCAAUCAUUGACAACGUCCCUCAGAGUACUAUCCACGAUGCAGGUAUAUCUCAGGAUACGAUAGCAUUCGUUUGUGUAUAGCUGGACGCGUGGCUGCUUUCUAUAUCUCAUACGUAGUCCCCCUCUGAUACUCUCCAUUGGCAGCAGGGUAUUGUCGUUAUUCGUUUAUCGAUAUUUCAUUGUACUUAAGAUUCCGCAUGAUAAAGUCCAUGGAAUCGAUUUUGAAAGGAGCUGUAAACUUUACACGCUGUACACGCUGUACACGCUGUAGUGCAGCUCGAGUCGAGAUCAAUACGCAAGGCCUUAAGCGAUGUUUUUAGACACUUUGAUGAUUAGCACUUGCUUGUCGAAGGCUUCAACGAAUUAGCAGGAGCGUCGCACGAUACCCAUUUUAAAAAUGAUGCACCAACUCGUGGGGGUCCUUGUACUCCACUUUCAAACAGUCCGAAGCUCCGAGUGCACGUGCUACAGAGUAUUCGUAGCUUCUCCAGAUAUCAGUCAAUUAUCCCAGAGUCAGCUACGACUUCUCGUAUUCGGUCAGGCUGUUCCACUCUAGGAGAAUCGAUACUGCCUCCAAUUAUUUACACGCGGACAAAUGUUUACGACUCGAGUCACGGAGUGGAUCAAAAGUUCUGAUUAAUUUUUAGAGAACGAACUUGAGCAUGGCUAAAGAAUACAAAUCACUUUGGACACUGGGUACGCAAGGCAAACGUGGGCUGAGAUUUUUUAUGUAUGAGAAUUAACAUUUCACUGUGUCAGAUAUUUCAGUUCUUUACCUAAAGUCAUCCGACCUGAACUCUUUUGGACGUUGGGGUCGAUACAUCGGGUGUCCAGAAUGAAUAGUACGGACUACACCCGUGUCCAGAAUAAUGUCGUGGCUCUAAUGAACUUUUUUCUCCUAUAAAACGUCCUUUUGUAUUCCACUCGCGGACAUCUGCACGUUCCUUGCUCGAUGCUGACUGUCAGUGCGAUUUCCGGCGGUUCAUUGUAGAGGGAUGACGUUAGAAUGAUUUACAAUUUAAAUUGCCGUGGCAGAUGGCGAAUUCUAGUUGUGUAUCUACUGGGUAGCCAACAAAGUAUCGAUCAUACCCGAUGCCAAUGCGACAGAAUACCCCGUGUAGUGAAUCAAUUUCUUGGCAUUGAGGUUAUCAUUCAAUGAUCACUUGUGCCGCUGGACGGAGUAUCAAUGCACUGGGUGUUUUUAAAUAAUAGUAGCUGUCCAAGGUGAUUCAAAGUAUUUAAUUACAGAUAGUUCAUCCGUCAUGGAUAAUUACAGAGUUCUCUAAUAUCAUCUACGUACGUCAUACUUCUGUUUUGUUUUGACCAACAGAGAAUUUAAAACCUCUAAUCCAUUCCAUGAUGAUUCCUUUUACAAGGCGUUUUACUAUUUGUCUGGCAUUUAUGGACAAUAUAUGCUUGUAGCCUGCCAAGAGAAUUCAUGCGGACUGCGCUAGAGGGAAAAUCAAUGAGAAUGGAUUGAUUUGUGUUAGUGUUGAUACUAAUAAUAAAAUAAUUGGAUUCAGUUUCA